GAUGAAGAACGCAGCGAAAUGCGAUAAGUAGUGUGAAUUGCAGAAUUCAGUGAAUCAUCGAAUCUUUGAACGCACCUUGCACACUUUGGCAUUCCGAAGGGUAUGCUCGUUUGAGUGUCAUUGUACUCUCACACUCCCACUCUUUUGGAUUGGGAGCGGUGGACUUGGGUGUUGCUGCUUCACUGUGGCUCGCCUCAAAUGGAGUAGUGCAACUCUCGGUUGGACAUAGUACGGCGUGAUAAGUGUCUUCGCCGGCGCCUCACUAGAGGGUGGCCGAUCGGGAGCUCUGUGCUUCAAACCGUCUUCGGACAAUCUCUGACAACUUGACCUCAAAUCGAGUAGGACUACCCGCUGAACUUAAGCAUAUCAAUAAGCGGAGGA
rnacentral:misc_RNA from 1 species